AUGGAACUCAGGACGCGUCUAUUUGUUUCAAAGGUCCUGGAUAUUACUAAGUAUUUGAAAUACGGGAAAAAAUACCAUUCGAGCAAUAUUUCCAAAGGAGUUGCAAACGAAUCUGCGGGUUCCCCAAUCAUUGAUGGUUCGAGAACCGCUAAGCCUAUGUUACAGGAAAUAGUACCCAAAAUAACUACUGGAAAAAUAUGUAAAAGAUCAUUAGGCCAUGCGGGUUCGCCAUAA